GAUUACAUAAAACCCUCUCUGUAAUCGCGGCUG
rnacentral:ncRNA from 1 species